GCUGAGCUCAGUGGCACAUGCCUGUAGUCCUGGCUACUUGGGAGGUUGAGGCUGGAUGAUCACUUGAGCCCAGGAGUUCUGGGCUAUACUGCACUAUGCCAAUCGGUAUCCACACUAAUUUCAGCAUUAAUAUGGUGACAUCCUGAGAGCGGGGCACCAGGUUGCCUAAAGAGGUAUGAAUCAGCCCCGAUCGGAAAUGGUAUAGGUCAAAACUCCCAUGCUGAUCAGUAAUGGGAUUGUGCCUGUGAAUAGUCACUGUCCAGCCUGGGCAAUACAGUAAGACCCUGUCUCU
rnacentral:SRP_RNA from 1 species